rnacentral:lncRNA from 10 species
CAGAGCGAGACUCUGUCUCAAAAAAAAAAAAAAAAUUAGCCAUGUGUGGUGGUGCGCACCUGUAGUCCCAACUACUCAGGAGGCUGAGGUGGGAGGAUCACUUGAGCCCAGGAAGUUGAGCCAUGUUCAUGUCACUGCCCUCCAGCCUGAGGCAACAGAGCAAGACCCUAUCUCGAAGAAAAAAAAAAGAUCUUCCUUACCCACACUGGGGAUGGGAUGCUGUUUCCAUUACUGGAGGCAGCCUAGUGCAGGCUGUUGCAGUACAAGCACAGUAAGGGAAGUAUUCAGAGAAGAGCAGCCCAGCAUGUACCAGGCAAACCUAUCAGGAAUCUAACAUUUUCUCUCAGCCUUCCACUAGUACCAUUCUCAGCAAAACCACUAUCAUCUUCAAUGUGGACAAAUGAAAUAGCCUCCUAGUGGGUCUUCAAACUAUCCAUCAUGCCCUUAUUCAAUCUAUUCUCUGUAGAGUGGUAAUUAUUUAAAAAUCAGCUCAUGUAGGCCGGGUGUGGUGGCUCACGCCUGUAAUUCCAGCACUUUGGGAGGCCGAGGCAGGCAGAUCACAAGGUCAGGCGUUCGAGACCAGCCUGACCAACACACUGAAACCCCAUGUCUACUAAAAAU